rnacentral:misc_RNA from 1 species
GAAAUUAUUGAAUUUUGUAUAGACUUGGAAAGAGCAAUCGGGACUAAAAAUGUAGUGAUGCAAGCUAUCGAAUGAGUAAAGCGGGAAACAAUAUUGGCGGAACUGGUCAGGUUCGGAUUUCGAAAUAAUUAAUCGACGUAUUAUAAUUGAUCCAUAAAGACAGGCUGCCGCAACACGAGCGGCGCACGUUUCCUCAAAGGGAAAUUCGAUAACUUCGAAUAUUUGAAGAGUGCAAAGAUGGAAGAAAGAAAUAAUUCAGGAAAUGCAUAAAUGCAGUGUGUUACGCCGACUCUACCCAC